UGAUGCGCCAUCAGGAAAUCAUUUCCGCUUCUGCCCCUGGUGAGGCUCUUGGAAAUACUCCCCUUUCAACCAAUGGAGAGCACCGGAUUCUGGCAGGGGGCUGUGCUUUUUGGUCAGCCCUGCCCCCCCCCACNNACACCCACCCUGCACACAAAAGCAGCAUAAUUAACUGUCUUAAGGCAGCGGAGCCUCCGCCAGCUGCGAGCUGGCGAGAAGAAAACACCUCGGAGGCACCGUCCGCGACGGCGGCAGGGGCCGCGAGCGCAGCCGGCCGAGGGGCAGCCCACCGCUAACUGCAGCCGUUCCCCACCUCUGGACAAAAGCGCCCAUCUGCGCCGCCACGUUGCUCUGGGUGACCUUCCCUGGGUGCAGAGUCCGCCCCUGCGCGCGUCUUCCUCAGAUGCUCUGAAGGCCCAGAGACUGCGCUCCGAAGGCGAGGGAUGUCCGGCUGCAUCCGCGCGGGGCUCGCCUUUGUUUGCGCGUAACCCGCCGAGACCGCCGAGGAUUCAUCUCUGCUCCGAGCCAGCUCCUCUCCUCGGUUCUCAUGGGGACCACUGAAGCCACGCUCCGGAUGGAAAAUGUGGACGUGAAGGAAGAAUGGCAGGACGAAGCUCUUCCCAGUCCACUCCCGGAGGAGACGGGGAUGGACCCGCUUGGCAGCCCCACAGAAGACACGUCCUCCCCUCCCAACACGUUGAACUUCAACGGAGCUCAUCAGAAGCGGAAGACCCUGGUUGCCCCGGAGAUCAACAUCUCCCUGGACCAGAGCGAGGGCUCGCUGCUGUCCGACGACUUCCUGGACACCCCCGACGACCUGGACAUCAACGUGGAUGACAUCGAGACCCCCGACGAGACCGACUCGCUGGAGUUUCUGGGGAACGGCCACGAGCUGGAGUGGGAAGAUGACACCCCUGUGGCUGCUGCCAAGAACAUGCCCGGGGACAGCGCAGACCUGUUUGGGGACGGUGCAGUGGAGGAUGGCGGUGCCACUAAUGGGCGCCUGUGGAGGACGGUGAUCAUCGGAGAACAAGAGCACCGAAUCGACCUGCACAUGAUCCGGCCCUACAUGAGGGUAGUGACCCACGGAGGGUACUACGGCGAGGGUCUCAACGCCAUCAUCGUGUUUGCGGCCUGCUUCCUCCCGGACAGCAGCUCCCCCGACUACCACUACAUCAUGGAGAACCUGUUCCUGUACGUCAUCAGCAGUCUGGAGCUGCUGGUGGCGGAGGACUACAUGAUCGUCUACCUGAACGGCGCCACGCCGCGGCGGAGGAUGCCCGGCAUCGGCUGGCUAAAGAAGUGCUACCAGAUGAUCGACAGGAGGUUGCGGAAAAACCUCAAGUCCCUCAUCAUCGUGCACCCAUCCUGGUUCAUCCGCACCGUGCUGGCCAUCUCCCGUCCGUUCAUCAGCGUCAAAUUCAUCAACAAGAUCCAGUACGUGCACAGCUUGGAAGAUCUGGAGCAGCUCAUCCCCAUGGAGCACGUGCAAAUCCCAGACUGCGUGCUACAGUACGAAGAGGAGAGGCUCAAGGCCAGGAGAGAGAGCGCCAGGCCGCAGCCAGAGUUUGUCCUGCCCAGGUCUGAGGAGAAGCCAGAGGCAGUGCCAGUGGAGGACAGGUGAGUGUGCAGGUGACCACGGGCGAGGCUGCCGAGCCCCCAAACGGCUGGUGAGAGCGACCACAGCGCUGUCAUGACGGGCACUGAGAACUCGGCGGGAAUGGCCAGCAUGAUGCCAGCUCCGUUGUCUGCUCCGGUCACAGAUCAGGAGACAAGCCUGUCCUGAGGCGACAAGAACACAGAGAAGGACAAGAAAGAAGAUUCCAGAUGCCAAGAAACCUCUGUCAGACGCCCUCCGGCCCUGGACCUCAUCCCCACCUCGUCCUGAGUCCCCGUCUUCGGAGGACGCCAGUCUCCUCCAUCCAUCUCUGAAACCCGGCAUCCUUUUUAGCUGCUUGAAAAUGUUUUGGGUUUGUUUUUGCUUUUUUUUUUAAACAACGCGGUAUUAGCGUGUUCCGGGGAAGGACCUGGUUCUCCGGCCUCCGCGCUCACGAGCUUGCGUCCAAGAAAAGCAAGCAGCUGAGGGCACGGCCCGUGGGUCCUUGGCGGCCUCAGAGACCCCCUCCCACUGCACAAAGUGCUGAUUCAAGACCCUUCUCCUGCUUGUCACCUGGCCCCCGUUGGAGCCACCGACGCCCCCCGGCUCCGCGGCUGGAUCUGGAUUCGUUCUUGUGCCUUUUCUCCUAGAACAGCCCCUGCCGCUCUGGGCAUCCGGCCUGGAAGCUCAGCCCCCAGCAGUGGCGUGCCCCCAGGGGCCUCCCCUCCUUCCCCCUCAUGGGUCUUUAUCAGACCAGCUCCCCCCAUCUCAGCACCCACCUUCUUGGGGAUCAUCGGAGCCCACAGCACAAGUGAGCUGUCGAUAAUUACCCCGGCCCUGCAGUUACAAAGCCGCGCCUCCCCAUCUAGAACAUCCUCAAGCCCCUCCAACGUGGAUGCCACACCCCAGGGGAGUCCUGGUCAAUACCUCCUACUGAGGGAAUGAAGUAUCCCCACUUUUCCUGACCCCCCCAAGGCAGGGUUGGGAUGUGCCCCUCAGGCUCCCACCAAGGGAAACGGGCUCUGAACUGUGCGAAGGAAGAUACAGGGUACUACAGGUUUGAAUAUUUGGAGGUUCAGUUGGGAAAGGAAAUCCCUGUGGCCUGGAUGCCCUGGGGAUCUGCAGUCACAGGAGGCAAAUUUACCUUGGACAAAGGACAGACUUUUCUAAUGCAGCCCAAACACCCAUCAGGUGGCUUCUGUAGGUAGUGAGGUCCCCAUCUGUGGAGGUAUUUAAGAAAGGGCUGGCAAGCGCUUGCAGAAUGUGGUCCUCUGCGGUCCCCUCCAAUCUUAAGAGCCUCUAUUUAUAUAAAUCUGAGCGAAAGUUGACUGGGGACCGUCUCCAGGCCCCAGGCUUCUUAGCGGUCAAGAUUCAUGUGCGCUGAGAAUGAGGUUCUUGGUCUCAGAGGCCAUGCCAAAUGCUUCCCGACCUGGGACGCUGGGUGUUUUGGGGUUAUUCCAAUGGUGGGAGGGAGCCAGUGGUGUUUAGUGCUGAGGGAAAGGAAUGCCCAACAUUUGGCUGCAGGGAGUGUCCUGCACGUCACGGAACUGUCCCACCCCAAAUGGCAGAGGCUUUUGCAUCGGAAAACGCCGAGUUUCUGAGCGAGCUUGGGCCUGCAUCCCCUGGGUCACAGCACGGCCGGCCCCGGGAAGGCAGGGACGCCUGGGGGCUGGGGGGACUUUUAAAUGUGUGUUUCUGCCAUGUUUCCCGAAUGCCGAAUAAAGGACAGGAUCGUGUUCUGGGCCCAGACGUGUCACCUGCAGCCCGAGGCAUCAGAGGCUGGCUGAUGGGCCUCUCCAGGCUGCCCUCCUAGCGACCCCACCCCCGGUCUGCUCCUGGCCUGCCCCAAACUCUGGGUCUGGGUGGCCGGCUGUCCUUCCCCGGGGCUAACGCGUGGACCCCAAGCUGCAAACUCCCGCCUCCAUGCACUUAGUCCCUGCCCGGAGGCUGGAGCCUGGCUGCAAGCUGAAGGGUGGGAACUGAUACGGGCCACCCCCUGCCAGUCACUGAGCGCCCAGGAGGUGACAGAGGGACAGGAAGCGGCAGACCCCAGCUCCCCUGCCCACCCCCCCGAGGAGCCUGCAGCCGCACGAGAAAUUACAACAGGGUCCACCCGGCCCAGCGUGGCUGGCCCGCCGCCCCUCCGUCCGGACCACCAGCAGCCACAGACAACGGGCAAGCGUGACCUAGGAUCUCAGCUCAGCUGCAGCAGCCCCUCUGGGAUAGAGAAACCCCCGAGUGGCUGUCCCCAGAUGCGAGAAGUCCCAGUGCACAGCUCCAUGCAGACGGGGCCGCCGUACCCAGCCUGGCUGCUGCCCGCCCCUCGGAAGCCACUUUGCGAAAGGCAUGUGUCUCUGGGGCAGCCGUGGCCAAAACGCAAUGGACCCCGGACCCUGGACCUCAUUGGAAGAGGACACCAGGUUUUCCUCCCCGGACACGUGGGAUGCGUCCUGAGUCGUAGCUCACACGCCCAUCCUAACGACGGCGAGUUCUGUGGUUUUUAAAAACAAAACAACUCAUUAUGAUUACUGUCGUGAUGUUCAGACAUCAUCUCCGUGAGCUUUGGGGGAUUUUUAUGUGGAAAUAACGUAACUGAGAAGGGAGGGUUGUCACUUUUGUCCACUUCCCCGAGGUGUGGUGCUGGCCUUGGGCCAGGAGCAGACGAACCGGCCUGAACUUGCGCCCCACGACCUCGAGGGACCUUGAGUGACCUCAGGCCGGUGGUCUCAGGUGUCCUUGGGCAGCCUCAGGCGACCUUGGGUGACCUCACUUGACCUCCCAACCUCUCUGCAAUCAAACCCAGUCAGCAGGUGAUACUAGUAGUAAUUUAAUAACUAUAUGUAUGUGUUCUUACUGGUACUGAAGAGAAGGCUCUGUGUCUCUACACUCGCACCAACACGUCCCAGACCGGGCGCAGCGGUCCCCAGGAGCGACUCUCCGGCUCCCGGCGGCCACCCGGCAGGGUGUCCUGCGACCUAACUCAACCAAGACACCGCACAGAGUCACGCGGACCCCACAGGUUAAGGGCUCAGACCCACAAGCACGCACGCCCCCAGCUCAGGCGCCGGUCUCCAGGUGUGGGUCCCCAGGUCACCCACACUCGUGCCCCAAGUGGCCAAAAGUCAGGCGUUCCCUCAGCCUUCCCCCAGCAGCUCACAGAACUCAAGAAAAAGGUCUCCUUGCUUUUUGCCUGACCAUGACAAAGGCUCGAACUCAGGAACAGCCAGCGGAAGAGCCGGGGUGGGGGGACAGGGCAGGAGCGAGGGGCGCGUCCCCGAGCCGUCCCCGUCGCCCACCCGAAGGCGUCGUGACGCAGGCACGAUUGGUUAACCUUUGGCCGUUGGUGAUGAACCCCACCUCCAGCCCGGCCCCUUCUCGGGGGUCUGC